rnacentral:rRNA from 1 species
AAAAAAAAAUUAAAUUAAAAAAAAAAUUAAAAAAAAAUUAAAAAAAAAAAAG